rnacentral:lncRNA from 1 species
AAAAAGUGAUUAAGGCCUUCAGUUAAUCUGUAAGAAUAAACUAAUAGUCAUGGGGAAAAUAGUUUAGUUGAAUGUAGAAUUGCUAAAACACAAACCAAUAUGAAGCCUAUAUUGGCUAGACACAUGCCAGUAGAGGGUAUCAAUAUAGAAACACUAAAGGCUAAAACAAGUCUUGAUGAACUUGUCCCACGCUUACAUGAACGAGAGAAAGAAUAAAUGCCUUUGUUAUUUUCACAAUGAUCCUUAUAGCCCUGAACACAAUCUGACACAUAGGAAGGUUCAAUUGUAUUUUGUUGGAUUAGAUGAAAGUAAAUAUGAUGAGGUUGAGGAGUUACCAGGUUCCAAGGAGAUUACGGAUACCAAAAUCUUCGUGAAUUCCUGAACUGGUACAGAAAGCUUCAGAAAUAGAGGGUGAUAGGAAGCAAUAACAAGAAACCUCUACAUAUCUUAAUUUACAGUGACCGUACACAUAUUUUCUUAGAUAACAAUAUGGCAAAGAAAUAAGGUUGUAGACGGGAGGAAUUAGAGACAUUAAUGGUAACAACUACUGAUAGUAGUAAAUUGAAAAUCUCUUCUAUGAUCAUGAGGUUGAAAUGGACACUCUAGAAUAAUGAUGUUCAAGCUAAUAAGAUGCUAAUUCUCCUGAGAUGUUGUGAUAUGUUAUUUGCAACCACUUAAUUUUGUCCCAUCCAUU